rnacentral:rRNA from 1 species
AGUGAACGCUGGCGGCGUGCCUAAUACAUGCAAGUCGAACGAAGUGGAGCACGGGAGUGUAAUAUAUGGUUAAUCUGCCCUACACAGAGGAAAAACAGUUGGAAACGACUGCUUAUACCUCAUAGUGUAGGAUGAGACUAUAUCGUAUCAGCUAGUUGGUAAGGUAAUGGCUUACCAAGGGUAUGACGCGUAACUGGUCCGAGAGGAUGAUCAGUCACGUUCGAACUGAGGCACUGUACAAACUCCGACGGGAGGCAGCAGUAAUGAAUAAUGCGCAAUGGAGGAAACCCUGACGCAGGCACGCCGGGUGAAGGAUGACACUUUUCGGAGCGUAACCUCCUGUUAUCAAGAAAGCGGUACCUGAUGAAGAAGCACCGGCUAACUCCGUGCCAGCAGCCGCGGUAAUAC